rnacentral:rRNA from 1 species
UACAGAGGGUGCGAGCGUUAAUCGGAAUUACUGGGCGUAAAGGGCGCGUAGGUGGUUAAUUAAGUCAGAUGUGAAAUCCCCAGGCUUAACCUGGGAAUUGCAUAUGAAACUGGUUGGCUAGAGUAUGGUAGAGGGAAGUGGAAUUUCCGGUGUAGCGGUGAAAUGCGUAGAUAUCGGAAGGGACACCAGUGGCGAAGGCGACUUCCUGGACCAUUACUGACACUGAGGCGCGAAAGCGUGGGGAGCGAACAGG